GACGAACGCUGGCGGCGUGCUUAACACAUGCAAGUCGAACGGAAAGGCCCGGCUUUUGUGGGUUGCUGGGGGGGCGAACGGGGGAGAAACAGGUGGGUAACCUGCCCUUGCCUUUGGGUUAACUUAAGGAAACUGGGGUUAAUACCGGAAGGGAGCUCCUGCUGCAUGGGGGGGGUUGGAAGGUUUCGGCGGUUGGGGAUGGACUCGCGGCUUAUCAGCUUGUUGGUGGGGUAGUGGCUUACCAAGGCUUUGACGGGUAGCCGGCCUGAGAGGGUGACCGGCCACAUUGGGACUGAGAUACGGCCCAGACUCCUACGGGAGGCAGCAGUGGGGAAUAUUGCACAAUGGGCGGAAGCCUGAUGCAGCAACGCCGCGUGCGGGAUGACGGCCUUCGGGUUGUAAACCGCUUUCGCCUGUGACGAAGCGUGAGUGACGGUAAUGGGUAAAGAAGCACCGGCUAACUACGUG
rnacentral:rRNA from 1 species